GCUCGGGUAGCUCAGUUGGUAGAGCAGAGGACUGAAAAUCCUCGUGUCGGCGGUUCGAUCCCGUCCCCGAGCACCA
rnacentral:tRNA from 9 species